GACGAACGCUUGCGGCGUGCUUAACACAUGCAAGUCGAACGAUGAAGGAGAGCUUGCUCUCCGGAUUAGUGGCGAACGGGUGAGUAACACGUGACUAACCUGCCCCUUUCUCUGGGAUAACGCUCCGAAAGGAGUGCUAAUACCGGAUACGAACUCUGAACACAUGUUCGGAGUUGGAAAGUUUUUCGGAAAGGGAUGGAGUCGCGGCCUAUCAGCUUGUUGGUGAGGUAACGGCUCACCAAGGCGACGACGGGUAGCCGGCCUGAGAGGGCGACCGGCCACACUGGGACUGAGACACGGCACAGACUGCUACGGGAGGCAGGAGUGGGGAAUAUUGCACAAUGGGCGAAAGCCUGAUGCAGCGACGCCGCGUGAGGGAUGAAGGUCUUCGGAUUGUAAACCUCUUUCAGUAGGGACGAAGCGAAAGUGACGGUACCUAAAGAAGAAGCACCGGCUAACUACGUGCCAGCAGCCGCCGUAA
rnacentral:rRNA from 1 species